CCUACGGGUGGCAGCAGUGGGGAAUAUUGCACAAUGGGGGAAACCCUGAUGCAGCGACGCCGCGUGAGUGAAGAAGUAUUUCGGUAUGUAAAGCUCUAUCAGCAGGGAAGAAAAUGACGGUACCUGAGUAAGAAGCACCGGCUAACUACGUGCCAGCAGCCGGCGCAAUACGUAGGGGGCAAGCGUUAUCCGGAUUUACUGGGCGUAAAGGGGGCGUAGACGGCAGCACAAGUCUGGAGUGAAAUGCCUGGGCUUAACCCCGGAACUGCUUUGGAAACUGUGCAGCUAGAGUGGAGGAGAGGUAAGUGGAAUGCGUAGUGUAGCGGUGAAAUGCGUAGAUAUUAGGAGGAACACCAGUGGCGAAGGCGGCUUACUGGACUGUAACUGACGUUGAGGCUCGAAAGCGUGGGGAGCAAACAGGAUUAGAUACCCGAGUAGUC
rnacentral:rRNA from 1 species